rnacentral:rRNA from 1 species
CUGGCUCAGGAUGAACGCUGGCGGUCUGCUUAACACAUGCAAGUCGAACGGGAUCCUUCGGGAUUUAGUGGCGGACGGGUGAGUAACGCGUGAGAAUCUGCCCUUAGGUUGGGGACAACAGUUGGAAACGACUGCUAAUACCCAAUGUGCCGAGAGGUGAAAGGUUAACUGCCUGGGGAUGAGCUCGCGUCUGAUUAGCUAGUUGGAGUGGUAACGGCACACCAAGGCGACGAUCAGUAGCUGGUCUGAGAGGAUGAUCAGCCACACUGGGACUGAGACACGGCCCAGACUCCUACGGGAGGCAGCAGUGGGGAAUUUUCCGCAAUGGGCGAAAGCCUGACGGAGCAAGACCGCGUGAGGGAGGAAGGCCUAUUGGUUGUAAACCUCUUUUGAUAGGGAAGAACACAAUGACGGUACCUAUCGAAUCAGCAUCGGCUAACUCCGUGCCAGCAGCCGCGGUAAUACGGAGGAUGCAAGCGUUAUCCGGAUUUAUUGGGCGUAAAGCGUCCGUAGGUGGCAAACCAAGUCAGCUGUUAAAGAGCGGAGCUUAACUCCGUUAGAGCGGUUGAAACUGAUUGACUAGAGUUUGGUAGGGGUCGAGGGAAUUCCCAGUGUAGCGGUGAAAUGCGUAGAUAUUGGGAAGAACACCGGUGGCGAAAGCGCUCGACUGGGCCUGAACUGACACUGAGGGACGAAAGCUAGGGGAGCGAAAGGGAUUAGAUACCCCUGUAGUCCUAGCCGUAAACGAU